rnacentral:rRNA from 1 species
GAUGAACGCUGGCGGCGUGCCUAAUACAUGCAAGUCGAGCGAACAGACGAGGAGCUUGCUCCUCUGACGUUAGCGGCGGACGGGUGAGUAACACGUGGAUAACCUACCUAUAAUACUGGGAUAACUUCGGGAAACCGGAGCUAAUACCGGAUAAUAUAUUGAACCGCAUGGUUCAAUAGUGAAAGACGGUUUUGCUGUCACUUAUAGAUGGAUCCGCGCCGCAUUAGCAAGUUGGUAAGGUAACGGCUUACCAAGGCAACCAUGCGUAGCCGACCUGAGAGGGUGAUCGGCCACACUGGAACUGAGACACGGUCCAGACUCCUACGGGAGGCAGCAGUAGGGAAUCUUCCGCAAUGGGCGAAAGCCUGACGGAGCAACGCCGCGUGAGUGAUGAAGGUCUUCGGAUCGUAAAACUCUGUUAUUAGGGAAGAACAAAUGUGUAAGUAAAUAUGCACGUCUUGACGGUACCUAAUAAGAAAGCCACGGCUAACUACGUG